rnacentral:rRNA from 1 species
UGUUUGAGGAUCUCGGCAGGCCUUAACAUGCAAAUCGAACGGUAACAUGAGAGCUUGCUCUUGAUGACGAGUGGCGCACGGGUGCGUAACGCGUAUGCAAUCUACCUAUAACUGAGGGAUAGCCCAGAGAAAUUUGGAUUAAUACCUCAUAAUAAUAUUUUUUGGCAUCAUUAAAUAUUUAAAACUCCGGUGGUUAUAGAUGAGCAUGCGUUCUAUUAGUUUGUUGGUGAGGUAAAAGCUCACCAAGACUACGAUAGAUAGGGGGCCUGAAAGGGUGAUCCCCCACACUGGUACUGAGACACGGACCAGACUCCUACGGGAGGCAGCAGUGAGGAAUAUUGCACAAUGGAGGAAACUCUGAUGCAGCCAUGCCGCGUGCAGGAUGACGGCCCUACGGGUUGUAAACUGCUUUUUUA